GAUGGAAAAUGUCAGUUACAGCAGAUCUGGGAGCGCAGGAAAGAAGUGGUGGGAUGGAGCGAGGGAGGAAGUGGGAGGGCCGGCAAGGGCUCACCCUCCUGCCCACCUGGGCUGGUGCCCUCCUCCCAGCGAGCCAGGGGAUCAGGGAGGCUGGCUUCUUGAACGAGAGGGGCUGCUACCAGAGCAGGCAGCUUCAGAGAUGGGGGAGGGGAGGGGACUGCCACCUAGGAUUAGCAGGAUGGUCUUUGGCAGCCGUCCCGCCCAGCUGAUUAUCACAUUGUUUUAAAGGUCAUUGGGCUUCUUGAGGCCCCCAGCAGUGCGUUCUAGAAGCCCCUCCAGUCGAACUUAAAGCUCUGGGUCUAGGUAGCAGAAGGGGGAGGGUCGGGGAAGAAAAAGAUAUCAAACCCCAGUAUCCAAAGACCCCGGAACCGUAUCGAUCCCGACCCCUGCUUGGUAUCGAUUGAUCAAUGCCCCUGCCGAAAAGAGGAAUUGCCCUUUAAAAUGGUUGGGAAAGAGAUUGGGAGGGAGGGUUGAUAUUAAUCAAAGCAGGCCCCUCAGAAGGACGGCAGAGCAGCACGGGGAAGAGGAAACAAAAGAAGGAGGUUUGCCGAACAGCCUCGAAUAUUACGGCGGGAGAAGCGAUCAGUUAAUGGCACUGGAUGCAAUGAGGACCUUACAGUUGUUGGCGUCAUCUGGUCAGGAACUCUCUGCAGCUGAGAGUGGAGUGUGACUCGGUGGCCCUGCCACCGAAGCGUGUGAAGAAUCCAACCUCUCCCGUCACCAGCACUUGCCAGAUCUUCGCUCAGUCAACUCUUCGGAUCUUUGCUGGGAGACCACAGGGUUUUCAACGUCAGCCUCCGGCCACCUCCUCGAUUUUGCCUGAGGCACUGGUUGGAGCCUUCCCCUGUGUGGCUCUCCACGGGGUCAGAACACCUGGGACUCAGUCCGUGAAGCAGGAUCCCACCAGGUGGAGGUGCAGGAGACAGUACUGAUGAGUGAGUACCUGGGAGCAACCCUCAGCCAGGUGUGCGCAGGCCAUUGGUGCACCACCGUAGCUUGUGCUGUCUGCCGGAGCUCCCAAGCGGGAUGGAGCGCCUGGCGAUCAUGGUGAUAAUUGUAUGAAUAAGGCAUUUUUAUUGGUUGCCUUCCUGUCCUCAUCUCCUGUCCCCACUCCUGGAUUCCUCUCCCAAUUCAAUGACUUGCAGUCAACUCCUCGUCUCAAAGUCUGCCUUCUGGGGAGCCCAGCUGUGGGCUGCACAGAUGAGAAAAUCCACCCAAAUGGACUCCAUGGCCAGGAAGUGAGUGAGCCCUUGAUGGAUAGCCAAGGUCCUUGUCUCUGUUAGAGUGGAUUGUGGCAAAAUUGGUGGUUAUCAGUCUGUUUUGAGGGGCCCAUCUCCCCACAAGGAGAAGUGAGCUAGAAGCAAAGACAGAGACCGCUUCAUUUUAGGACAGUUUCCUUCCUCUAUCCACAGCUCAGCAUCAGAUAGAAGCCUGGGGCGUUUAUCUGUUGAGCAUGGGACGCAGCUUGGACAGUGGUUUGCUUUCCUCUCUGAAAUGCACUUUUCCAAGGCCAAAUCGCAGAUAAGCAGCUUCCCCCUGGAGUACCCCUGUUUUAUGCGGGGUAGGGAGGGCCGUGGGUGCGAUUAUGCUGGUCUGGAAGCACACAUUGACUUUAGAUAGUCCACACAGUGCAUGCUCAGUGGAAAAUCGAGAGGUGUUGUGCAUCUUGAGUCACCACCCUCUCUCACCACAGGGUCAAUCAUGAGGGGAGGAAGGGGAGGCAGAGGGAGGAAUGGAACCUGAUGCUGUCGGUGAACCUGAACAUGGACAGAGUGUGGGGGGCUCAGUGGAGUCCACAGAAGCCCCCUCCCAGAAUAAGGAGGCUGCUGGCCGGAGCUGAGUGCAGGGAGGGAGGCAUCUUAUCAGCUCCCGGACCACACUUGCCGUCCUUCCCUCUGGAGGCACCACCCAUUUGCUGUGUGCCAGUAGCAGCAUCAUUGAGACCAGAUUAAAAAUGUCUGUGCCCUUUAAAGGUGGGAUGUUUUAUUUUUUUAUUUGA